rnacentral:rRNA from 1 species
UACGGAGGGGGCUAGCGUUGUUCGGAAUUACUGGGCGUAAAGCGCACGUAGGCGGCUUUGUAAGUUAGAGGUGAAAGCCCGGAGCUCAACUCCGGAACUGCCUUUAAGACUGCAUCGCUAGAACGUUGGAGAGGUAAGUGGAAUUCCGAGUGUAGAGGUGAAAUUCGUAGAUAUUCGGAAGAACACCAGUGGCGAAGGCGACUUACUGGACACAUAUUGACGCUGAGGUGCGAAAGCGUGGGGAGCAAACAGG